GAGAGGGAGGGAGAAGCGGGCUAAAAAGAAGCUGGAAGGUAUUAUGCACUCUUUUCCCUUUGCUUCCUAGAAACUCCCGCUUGUUCCCUCCCACUCGGCCGGCACAGUUCAGACGACGCAGCAAAGGAAACGUUGAAAACUUGAACCUGCUAUUCUCCAGCUGCCUCGGCCUUCUAAGUAGAUCACUUGUUUUCUUUCCUGCUGUUCAGCCUCUAUGUCUCUCUCUCGCUCUCUCCCUCCCAGUUUCUCCUUUCCUCUCCCUGUUUCUCUCUCUCUCUCUCUACCUCUCUCUCUUUUUCUCUGGGCUGUGUGUAAGAGGAUCACUUUGUUUCCGUUGCCUUUUUUUCCGCGCUGCUGCAGACACAUGGAGGAGGAGAGGACUGGAUUUGGGGGAGAUACUGACGGGGGUGCACAGCUGCAACAGUCCCCUCCAUCUCCACACUAGGACUAAUGCCCCUCAUCUGUCUCUCUCUCUCUCUCUCUCUCUCUGUCUUUCCCUCCCUGUGUGUUUGGCUCUCCCUCUGUCGCACUCUCUCUGCCUCUCGAUGGGGUGGGGGGUGCCAUAUGGGAGCUCAGAAAAAUGGAAGUGGAUCGGAGAUAGACAUGAGAGGAAUCUGUCAUUCUCGAGCUCGGAUAUCAGAAUCUUUUGGGUGAGCGAGCUUAAAGCUGACCCGAGCAGCAAACCCCCCCGAAGCGAGACACUUCCCAUGGAGGGAGCCCUGGCAAUGCUCUUUCUUUCUCCGUGCUCAAAGGUAAGACCAAUCCUGACUCCCGUAAACCUCUCUUACUUAAUUUUGUUUCUGUUAAUCUGUCUGGAGGAUUGUGUUUGUUUGUUUGUCUGCCUUGUUUUGCCUGCACUCUUGCAGCAGCAGUGUGAGUCAGUAAAAGUGUCAGCCGGCCGUAACAGACGGCCUGCGCGACGUAAUUAGCCCGGAGUCAUUUGGAAGCGGCUCAGCUCGGCCCAGGUGCCCACUGUGCACAGAAAGAGACCAGACGACCUUUUACUCAGCUCCGUCCCACUGCAGUCACUUAAAACAGUGAUGGAUGUUUCCCUUAACACCACGCUCUCUACCCGCUGCCUCCAUUCUCCUCCCACUCUCUCUCAUCUCAACAUUUUACCCCCCUCUCCUCCUCUCAGCUCCGACGCUGCUCUCGCCUUAUUUGUCCUCCUCUCCUCUCCCUCUCCUCUCCUCUCCUCUCCUCUC